rnacentral:lncRNA from 1 species
UCUUCAGAAGAACUUGUGGAUAAUCAAGACAAAAAAUCAAAAGAAAAACAAAUCACAUAAAAGAAAUUCAAAGUAUUAAACAUGCAAUUACUGAACCUAAUCCGUUCUUAAAAACAAUUAAACACUCAAAGCUAAAAAAUGGAAAAUAUGUGGGAGAAACUUAGCUUUUAUUCCCGUUGUCAUUUGAACUGAUUCAAUUGGACCUUCGUUCUUCCACAUGGGUUCUGAAACUCCCAGGAUGGUGUUUAAUCAACUUCAAAGCUCAGGGAAGGGUUCUUGUAAGUCCUGAGACCUAAAUAGGUCUCAGAUUUGGAAUAUUGAGUGGCCGGUGGUUGUUUCAGACUCGCGGGUGGCAUGGUUGGUGUCAAGGAGGAUCAGGGACUGCCUGUGAGGGUUUUGAGGCUUUUCCGGCAAGUUUGGGAUUUAGGGUUCAGCUUCGGAUUAAGAUUCGAAGGGUUUCAUGGCGAUUUGAGAUGGGUGAUAUGCAUGGUUAGAACGGAGAGGUCAAGGUGUCUGAAGGGUGUAAGUUUGGAAGGCUUUGGGAUGAGGGUCGCCGGAGGUAAGGUUUCCGUCCACCUUUAAAGGGAUAUUCGAGACGGAGGGGUUGUAUUCGAGGGUAACUGGUUAUGGGAUGGGGUAGAGGAGGCCAUGAUGGUUAAAGGGUGUAAUUUUGGGGCUGUUUGGUUGCUGGGCGCCGCCCUGAGAUGAUUUCCGGCGGCGGCAGUAGGGUGGCCAGUCGGUGGUCAACAUCGGCGAUGGGGUGGUCAUUAGAGGUGUUACAGCCGGAGGUGGAGAUACGAGGAGG